rnacentral:rRNA from 1 species
AGCAGCCGCGGUAAUUCCAGCUCCAAUAGCGUAUAUUAAAGUUGUUGCAGUUAAAAAAGCUCGUAGUUGAAUUUCGGGGGUCAGUAGGUUGGUCAUGCCUCUGGUAUGUACUGGUCUCACUGAUUCCUCCUUCCUGAUGAGCCAUAAUGCCAUUAAUUUGGUGUUGCGGGGAAUCUGGACUGUUACUUUGAAAAAAUUAGAGUGUUUAAAGCAGGCUAACGCUUGAAUACAUUAGCAUGGAAUAAUGAAAUAGGACGUUCGAUCCUAUUUUGUUGGUUUCUAGGAUUGACGUAAUGAUUAAUAGGGAUAGUUGGGGGCAUUAGUAUUCAAUUGUCAGAGGUGAAAUUCUUGGAUUUUAUUGAAGACUAACUACUGCGAAAGCAUUUGCCAAGGAUGUUUUCAUUAAUCAAGAACGAAAGUUAGGGGAUCGAAGACGAUCAGAUACCGUCGUAGUCUUAACCAUAAACUAUGCCGACUAGGGAUCGGAUGAUGUUAAUUUUAUAAUGACUCAUUC